rnacentral:lncRNA from 1 species
GGAGCCAACAGAGUGAGAUGAAGGGGACACCUUCAGAUACUCAGGCAGAAGCGUAAGUCCCCACCUGCUGACCUGCUGCCUGCUAUCUUAACACGAAUUCUUCAUCUGAAUGGAUGAGCUUUUCACAGAGUUCCAAACUAAGGAAUCCAGGAGUGGCCAAUCCAGAGAUUCAUUCCUUAUCUAUGACGAACAUCUGAACUCCUGGCUCAUCCUGUGGAAUUCAGGCCAUACAGGAGAUCAAGGACAUUUGUUUUGGGUUAAAUGAAUGUUGCCAGGUGGAGGUUGCUAGAGGGAGGGUGCUAAGUGAAAGUGCUGUAUAAACUGCUUGCUUUUUACAAACAGUAUUGGUUCUUUCUCCUGUCCAGCCUGCCACAACUAGACCAUCAUGUAUGUAAGUCCCCUUAAUAAAACCUGUGUCUCAUUCACCGGC